rnacentral:rRNA from 1 species
AACGUAGGUGGCAAGCGUUAUCCGGAUUUACUGGGCGUAAAGCGUGUGCAGGCGGAUGGACAAGUGGUGUGUGAAAGCGCUCGGCUCAACCGGGCAAUGGUAUGCCAGACUGCCCAUCUCGAGCCAGAGAGAGGGACGUGGAAUUCCGGGUGUAGUGGUGAAAUGCGUAGAGAUCCGGAGGAACCCCCGAGGCGAAGGCGGCGUCCUGGCUCUGGUCCGACGUUCAGACACGACAGCAUGGGGAGCGAACGGG